rnacentral:lncRNA from 1 species
UGAUGAAAUGAGGAGGAGGGGUAGAGGAGGAUAAUGAGGAGAAGGAAUGAUGAUGAUGAUGAUGGGAAAUGUGGAGGGAAUGGAUGGAAAUGAGUGGAGGGAGGAAUGGAGGGAAGGAAUGGAAGGAGGAAGGAAAGGAGGAAGGAGGAAGAGGGAAGGGAAGGAAAUGGAGGAAUGAGGAAGGGAUGGAGGGGAGGAAGGAGGGGAGGGAGGAAGGAGGGAGAGGAGGAAGGACGGAGGGGAGGAAGGAGGGAUGGGAGGAAGGAGGGAGGGGAGGAAGGAAGGAGGGGAGGAGGGGAAGGAGGGAGAAAAGAGCUCAGGAAUCCCUCAGCCUUUGAAGAGGCUCCCGGGGUGGGGGCCUGCUGUGGGUUGGCUGGAAUCAGCCCCCCUCCCCCACGUCCUGGGUCCCUGCAGCCCUGCAAGGAGGACACCCAGGCACCCCUCAUGCCAGGGAAGCCGGGGCCAGGCCAGGGAAGGGCCCAGGAGGGUUCGCUCGUCCUGUGUCAUGUUGUUCCUUUAAAAAUCCCUGCUGCUGGCCCGGCACAGUGGCUCACGCCUGUAAUCCCAGCGCUUUGGGAGGCCGAGGUGGGUGGAUCACGAGAUCAAGACCAUCCUGGCUAACACGAUGAAACCCCGUCUCUACCAAAAAUGCAAAAAACUAGCCGGGCGAGGUGGUGGGCGCCUGUAGUCCCAGCUACUCGGGAGGCUGAGGCAGGAGAAUGGCGUGAACCCGGGGGGCGGAGCUUGCAGUGAGCUGAGAUCCGGCCACUGCACUCCAGCCUGGGCGACAGAGCGAGACUCCGUCUCAAAAAAAAAAAAAAAAAAAAAAAUCCCUGCUGCAGGAGUGGUGGGGGGAGCUGGCUGGGGGUGUGGACUGUGGUGCCACUGUGGUCAAGUUUGUGCCACCUGGUGCUCAAAUUCCAGCACCAGGGACAGGAGGUGGGGAGGGCAGGAGCCAGGCUCCCUCAGAAUGAACCAGUUGCCCUCCUGCUCUGCCAUGGGCCACGGUGGGGGUGGGCAGCAUGUGGCCCGUCUGAGCUGCAGCUCCCUCCUGGAGCAAAUGGACUCACUUCCCAGUGUGUUGCAGAUGCCCUGAAG